rnacentral:tRNA from 1 species
GGGGUUGUGGCUCAGUGGUAGAGUGCUUGCCUAGCAUGUAUGAGGCAUUGGGUUCGUAUCCCCAGCACCA